rnacentral:miRNA from 1 species
GUAUAUGUGUGUGUGUGUGUGUGGUGUGAGAGAGAGAUAGUACACAUACACACACACACGCACACACACACACACACACACA